AACGAACGCUGGCGGCAGGCCUCAUACAUGCAAGUCGAGCGAUUAAGACUCCUUCGGGAGUGUAUAAAGCGGCGAACGGGUGAGUAACAGGUGGAUGAUCUACCUUCCGGUGGGGGAUAACGGCUGGAAACGGCCGCUAAUACCGCAUUCGGUUAAUACGCUGCGGCGUAUUAAAGAAAGGCGCUUCAAAGCGCCGCCGGGAGAUGAGUCCGCCCCCCAUUAGCUAGUUGGUGAGAUAACAGCUCACCAAGGCAACGAUGGGUAGCCGAACUGAGAGGUUGAUCGGCCACACUGGAACUGAGACACGGUCCAGACACCUACGGGUGGCAGCAGUAGGGAAUAUUGGGCAAUGGGCGAAAGCCUGAUCCAGCCAUGCCGCGUGUGUGAAGAAGGCCUUCGGGUUGUAAAGCACUUUUGUUGGGGUAAGAAACCGGACCGGAUUAAUACUUCGGCUGAAUGACGGUACCCAAAGAAUAAGCACCGGCUAACUUCGUGCCAGCAGCCGCGGUAAAACGUCUAC
rnacentral:rRNA from 1 species